GACGAACGCUGGCGGCGUGCCUAAUACAUGCAAGUCGAACGCAGUGGGGACGGGUGAGUAACACGUGGGUAACCUCCCAUCAGAGGGGAUAACACUUGGAAACAGGUGCUAAACCGAUACUGAUGGAUGGACCCGCGGUGCAUUAGCUAGUUGGUGGGGUAACGGCGCACCAAGGCCACGAGGCCUAGCCGGCCUGAGAGGGUGAUCGGCCACACUGGUACUGAGACACGGUCCAGACUCCUACGGGAGGCAGCAGUGGGGAAUCUUCGGCAAUGGACGAAAGUCUGACCGAGCAAUGCCGCGUGAGUGAAGAAGGUUUUCGGAUCGUAAAACUCUGUUGUUAGAGAAGCGGUAGCUAACCAGAAAGCCACGGCUAACUACGUGCCAGCCGCCGCGGUAAUAC
rnacentral:rRNA from 1 species